AUUGAACGCUGGCGGCAGGCCUAACACAUGCAAGUCGAACGAGUGGCGGACGGGUGAGUAAUGUCUGGGAAACUGCCCGAUGGAGGGGGAUAACUACUGGAAACGGGAGCUAAUACCGCCUACCAUCUGAUGUGCCCAGAUGGGAUUAGCUAGGAGGUGGGGUAACGGCUCACCUAUGCGACGAUCCCUAGCUGGUCUGAGAGGAUGACCAGCCACACUGGAACGGAGACACGGUCCAGCCUCCUACGGGAGGCAGCAGUGGGGAUUAUGGCACAAUGGGCGCAAGCCUGAUGCAGCAAUGCCGCGUGUAUGAAGAAGGCCUUCGGGUUGUAAAGUACUUUCAGCGAGGAGGCGUUACUAGCAGAAUAAGCACCGGCUAACUCCGUGCCAGCAGCCGCGGUAAUAC
rnacentral:rRNA from 1 species